rnacentral:misc_RNA from 1 species
GAUGAAGAACGUAGUGAAAUGCGAUAAUUAAUGUGAAUUGCAGAAUUCCGUGAAUCAUCGAGUCUUUGAACGCACAUUGCGCCUCAUGGCAUUCCGUGAGGCAUGCCCAUCUCAGCGUUAGAAAAUAUUCUCAAAUUUUAGUUUUGUGCUAAAAUUUGGAUCAUGUCAAAGAAGCUAUUACUAUUAUUGUGAUCGCUCUUUGGAAAUUGAUAGGUCUUUGAGUUGCUACUCAUAGAACGUGAUGAAUCUUUCUUCGUUCUAUUGUAAUUCACUCUGGUAGUCCUAAAACUUGUAUGCCUGUGGCAUAUCUUGUAAUUUGACCUGAGAUUGGGUAGGGAUACCCGCUGAACUUAAGCAUAUCAAUAAGCGGAGA